GCGCUGGCACCCAGACUUGCGCGCGACGGUUCCCCCGGCCUUUUGGCCGGGCUAUUCCGGCGUGUCCAGGCCAACGUCAGUUCUGGGGGGCGGUCAAAGGCUCCGGGAAUGUAUCUCACCCCUCGGGGUGAGACUUAUAGCCCGGGGCGUCAUGCGCCCUCCCGGGACUGAGGCACGCGCUUCGGCGAGGAUGUUGGCGUAAUGGGUGUCAGCGACCCGUCUUGAAACACGGACCAAGGAGUC
rnacentral:rRNA from 1 species